GGACUGUGACUCAAUGGAAGAGCAUCUGCUUGUAAAGUAGGAGGUCCAGGUUCAAUCCCUGUGAUCUCCA
rnacentral:tRNA from 1 species